rnacentral:rRNA from 1 species
CAGUUAAAAAGCUCGUAGUUGAAUUUCGGGGUCAGUGAGUUGGUCGUGCCACUGGUAUGCACUGGCUUUACUGAUUCCUCCUUCUUGAAGAACUGUAAUGCUAUUAAUUUAGUGUUGCAGGGAAACAGGACUGUUACUUUGAAAAAAUUAGAGUGUUUAAAGCAGGCUAACGCUUGAAUACAUUAGCAUGGAAUAAUGAAAUAGGACGUUUGAUCCUAUUUUGUUGGUUUCUAGGAUUGACGUAAUGAUUAAUAGGGAUAGUUGGGGGCAUUAGUAUUCAAUUGUCAGAGGUGAAAUUCUUGGAUUUAUUGAAGACUGACUACUGCGAAAGCAUUUGCCAAGGAUGUUUUCAUUAAUCAAGAACGAAAGUUAGGGGAUCGAAGACGAUCAGAUACCGUCGUAGUCUUAACCAUAAACUAUGCCGA